rnacentral:rRNA from 1 species
UACAGAGGGGGCAAGCGUUGUUCGGAAUUACUGGGCGUAAAGGGCGCGUAGGCGGCCUACUAAGUCGAACGUGAAAUCCCCGGGCUUAACCCGGGAACUGCGUCCGAUACUGGUUGGGCUUGAAUCCGGGAGAGGGAUGUGGAAUUCCAGGUGUAGCGGUGAAAUGCGUAGAUAUCUGGAGGAACACCGGUGGCGAAGGCGGCAUCCUGGACCGGCACUGACGCUGAGGCGCGAAAGCGUGGGGAGCAAACAGG